rnacentral:rRNA from 1 species
GACGAACGCUGGCGGCGUGCCUAAUACAUGCAAGUAGAACGCUGAAGGAGGAGCUUGCUUCUCUGGAUGAGUUGCGAACGGGUGAGUAACGCGUAGGUAACCUGCCUGGUAGCGGGGGAUAACUAUUGGAAACGAUAGCUAAUACCGCAUAAGAGUAGAUGUUGCAUGACAUUUACUUAAAAGGUGCAAUUGCAUCACUACCAGAUGGACCUGCGUUGUAUUAGCUAGUUGGUGGGGCAACGGCUCACCAAGGCGACGAUACAUAGCCGACCUGAGAGGGUGAUCGGCCACACUGGGACUGAGACACGGCCCAGACUCCUACGGGAGGCAGCAGUAGGGAAUCUUCGGCAAUGGACGGAAGUCUGACCGAGCAACGCCGCGUGAGUGAAGAAGGUUUUCGGAUCGUAAAGCUCUGUUGUAAGAGAAGAACGAGUGUGAGAGUGGAAAGUUCACACUGUGACGGUAUCUUACCAGAAAGGGACGGCUAACUACGUGCCAGCAGCCGCGGUAAUACGUAGGUCCUGAGCGUUGUCCGGAUUUAUUGGGCGUAAAGCGAGCGCAGGCGGUUAGAUAAGUCUGAAGUUAAAGGCUGUGGCUUAACCAUAGUACGCUUUGGAAACUGUUUAACUUGAGUGCAAGAGGGGAGAGUGGAAUUCCAUGUGUAGCGGUGAAAUGCGUAGAUAUAUGGAGGAACACCGGUGGCGAAAGCGGCUCUCUGGCUUGUGACUGACGCUGAGGCUCGAAAGCGUGGGGAGCAAACAGG